CCCUGAUGGUGUAGGCAUUGACGUAGCAAGUCCUUAAAGCGCUUCCAUGUCUUGAAAAAUAGUUCCCCCACCCAUUUGUGAGAAACUGGUGAUGCCUCUCCUAAGAUG